rnacentral:rRNA from 1 species
GCAGUCGAGCGGAACGAGUUAUCUGAACCUUCGGGGGACGAUAACGGCGUCGAGCGGCGGACGGGUGAGUAAUGCCUAGGAAAUUGCCCUGAUGUGGGGGAUAACCAUUGGAAACGAUGGCUAAUACCGCAUGAUGCCUACGGGCCAAAGAGGGGGACCUUCGGGCCUCUCGCGUCAGGAUAUGCCUAGGUGGGAUUAGCUAGUUGGUGAGGUAAGGGCUCACCAAGGCGACGAUCCCUAGCUGGUCUGAGAGGAUGAUCAGCCACACUGGAACUGAGACACGGUCCAGACUCCUACGGGAGGCAGCAGUGGGGAAUAUUGCACAAUGGGCGCAAGCCUGAUGCAGCCAUGCCGCGUGUGUGAAGAAGGCCUUCGGGUUGUAAAGCACUUUCAGUCGUGAGGAAGGUGGUGUAGUUAAUAGCUGCAUUAUUUGACGUUAGCGACAGAAGAAGCACCGGCUAACUCCGUGCCAGCAGCCGCGGUAAUACGGAGGGUGCGAGCGUUAAUCGGAAUUACUGGGCGUAAAGCGCAUGCAGGUGGUUUGUUAAGUCAGAUGUGAAAGCCCGGGGCUCAACCUCGGAAUAGCAUUUGAAACUGGCAGACUAGAGUACUGUAGAGGGGGGUAGAAUUUCAGGUGUAGCGGUGAAAUGCGUAGAGAUCUGAAGGAAUACCGGUGGCGAAGGCGGCCCCCUGGACAGAUACUGACACUCAGAUGCGAAAGCGUGGGGAGCAAACAGGAUUAGAUACCCUGGUAGUCCACGCCGUAAACGAUGUCUACUUGGAGGUUGUGGCCUUGAGCCGUGGCUUUCGGAGCUAACGCGUUAAGUAGACCGCCUGGGGAGUACGGUCGCAAGAUUAAAACUCAAAUGAAUUGACGGGGGCCCGCACAAGCGGUGGAGCAUGUGGUUUAAUUCGAUGCAACGCGAAGAACCUUACCUAC